CGGGAAAAAAUCUGAUCCCAUUAUCAUGAUUUACGAAUCAUGAAAAUUAUAAAUUGCUCUUGGGACGAAAUCAUGAUUCAGACUCAUGAUUUUUGAAGCUGAGCUACCACUAUCAUGAUUCAGAGCAACCAUUUUCAUGAGCUCCAAAUCAUGACCAUGAAAAGCGUUACGCACACGGUGCACCUGUCAAAACGUGUUUAGCAAAGCUUGUGCAAAGCAUAGUUGGCUGCGCAUUCACGGAAAAGUUGCCCUUUUUUUAAAAAAAAAGUUCACUUUUAUUGCCGGUUUCCUGCGCCGCUGUUGCUCUACUGUCGUUCCUGCUCUACUAUUCCGUUCCUGCUCCGUUAAUAUCGAGCUAUUCCGGCUCUGCAGAACUACCGCCGUUUCAUUCUGUUCCUUUCCUGCCGUGGCUGUUGCCCGUUCCGGCUCCUGUGUACCCGUUCCGGCUCCGCAUUGAGGGAAAAUUCUUCCGGCUCCGCUCUACUAACUACCGCCGUUUUAUUGUCCCAGUGCCACUGUCGCCAUUCCCGCCGCGGCUGUUGUCGUCCAAUAGGUGCAUCCGUUCCGGCUCCGCAUUGAGUGACCAGCUCCGCCCUACCAACUACCGCUCCCGAUUUUGUUGCCGUUCCGGACGUUUCGUUUUCAGCCUUGGCUGGUUCCACCCAGUAGGUGUUCCC